UAACAGGAAAUAGCUUGCUAUUUUGCUGACGAGUGGCGCACGGGUGCGUAACGCGUAUACAAUCUACCUUUUGCUGAGGGAUAGCCCAGAGAAAUUUGGAUUAAUACCUCAUGGUAUUAUUGAUAGGCAUCUAUUAAUAAUUAAAGGUUACGGCAAAAGAUGAGUAUGCGUCCCAUUAGCUAGUUGGUGAAGUAACGGUUCACCAAGGCAACGAUGGGGUAGGGGUCCUGAGGAGGGAGACUCCCCCACACUGGUACUGAGACACGGACCAGACUCC
rnacentral:rRNA from 1 species